rnacentral:rRNA from 1 species
CGGUGAAUACGUUCCCGGGCCUUGUACACACCGCCCGUCACACCAUGGGAAUUGGAAGCGCCCGAAGUCUGUGACCUAACCGUAAGGGAGGAGCAGCCGAAGGUGAUAUCAGUGACUAGGGUG